CCUACGGGUGGCAGCAGUGAGGAAUAUUGCGCAAUGGGCGAAAGCCUGACGCAGCGACGCCGCGUGAGGGAUGAAGGUCUUCGGAUCGUAAACCUCUGUCAGCAGGGAAGAACGGUCACUGUGCUCAUCAGCAGUGAAUUGACGGUACCUGCAAAGGAAGCACCGGCUAACUCCGUGACAGCAGCCGCGGUAUUACGGAGGGUGCGAGCGUUAAUCGAAAUUAAUGGACGUAAAGCGCUCGUAGGCGGUAUGUCAAGUCAAGGGUGAAGUCCCCGCGCUCAACGUGGGAACUUACUUUGAAACUGGCAAACUGGAGUGUGUUAGAGGAUAGUGGAAUACCAGGUGUAGGAGUGAAAUCCGU
rnacentral:rRNA from 1 species